rnacentral:lncRNA from 1 species
GAAAACACAAACUCUCGGAGAUAUUUUGUGAUGUUGUUUAAGCCGUGACCAUUGUCACCAAACUAGUAAACCCGAUAGUACAAGAUAUUCAAACUCAUCUUCUUCUUCUCAUUUUUUUUUUUUUAAUAGAUUGUUGAUAACCGAAAAAGUAGUUGGAAGGUUAGUUCAGUAAAAUUAAAAGAGAGGGGGGGAACUGAAGGAAGGGGGAAGGGAAGGGAGAGCAGAGCAAACAUGUUAAGUGCAUGGGAAGGACACGAGAAUGGUACGUGAAAUAUGAAAAUCGAAAGACAACAUCAUUUAAUUCCUUUGUUGGUCCUUCCUUUUAAUGUAAUUUCUGUAUUAAAUGUGGUGUCUCUGCCACUUUUCAUGAGAC